AUAAACUGUAAACAACAAUAAUGUUCAGCAAAGUAAGAUUUACAAAUAAGUCAACAUGACCGAAAUGGUCAAUUGAUCCCCUUAGGAGUUAUUGUUCUUUAUAGUCAAUUUUUAACAAUUUUCAUAAAAUUUGUAAAUUUUUACUAACGUUUUCCACUGAAACUAAUGGGCCAAGUUCAUUAUAGAUAGAGAUAAUUUUAAGCAGCAAGAAUGUUCAGUAAAGUAAGAUGUACAAACACAUCACCAUCACCAAAACACAAUUUUGUCCUGAAUCCAUCUGCUUCCUUUAAUAUUCACAUAGACCAAGGUGAGCGACACAGGCUCUUUAUAGCCUCUAGUUUUAUUUCUCUGAUUGUUUUUGUCCUGAUUUGGUUUUGCUUUAGUUCCAGCUCUUCGACAGUUACUUUAGCUUUUUUUUUUAAUAUUCUGGCUUUAUGUCAUAUUUAUUGUCAGAAUUGUAUCUUGUGCGGUUAUUUUAUAAGGUUUUAAUUAUCUUAUCAACAUUUCUAUUUGACAAUACCAUAUUACAUGUAUUUGUAUCUUGCUGAGUCAAAUCAGAAC
rnacentral:lncRNA from 1 species